rnacentral:sRNA from 2 species
UCAUGGGACGGGCCGAGUUUCGACGAAGAAAACGUCGAGAACGGGGGAUCCGGUGUUUUGGGGUGAAUUGAGUGAGUACGCCUGUACGCACUCAUAGGUAGUUGGUUGAAAAGACGCAACCAAGGCCGAACCCGUCAGCUAACCUCGUAGGCGAAUACUAGUGGAUUG